AUUGAACGCUGGCGGCAGGCCUAACACAUGCAAGUCGAACGAGUGGCGGACGGGUGAGUAAUGUCUGGGAAACUGCCUGAUGGAGGGGGAUAACUACUGGAAACGGUAGCUUAUACCGCAUACCCUCGGAUGUGCCCAGAUGGGUUUAGCUAGUGGGGGGGGUAACGGCUCAUCUAGGCGACUAUCCCUAGCUGGUCUGAGAGGAUGACCAGCCACACUGGAACUGAGACACGGUCCAGACGCCUACGGGAGGCAGCAGUGGGGAAUAUUGCACCAGGGGCGCAAGCCUGAUGCAGCCAUGCCGCGUGUAUGAAGAAGGCCUUCGGGUUGUAAAGUACUUUCAGCGGGGAGGCGUUACCCGCAGAAGAAGCACCGGCUAACUCCGUGCCAGCAGCCGCGGUAAUUC
rnacentral:rRNA from 1 species